ACCUAAAUAGUUUAUUUAAAAUGAUAAUUUGUGGAAUUGUAGAUGUAUAGAAGUACUUUAGGUU
rnacentral:tRNA from 1 species